AUUGUUUUAGCGCCUGGACAUAGGGUAUUUCUUUUAGUUUUAACUAAAAAUUUAUUAAAUUCACUAUGUUGACGAGGUAGAGGCUUAUCGAAAGAUUCGGCGGAUGGUCUCUUGGUACUAGAUUACUACCACAAAUAUUAGUUAAAGCCUUGCAGUGAUGCAAGUAUACAAAGCUAAUAGA
rnacentral:ncRNA from 1 species